GUGGAUUAGAUACCCUGGUAGUCCACGCUGUAAACGAUGGGCACUAGGUGUCCGGGGUAUUGACCCCCUGGGUGCCGCAGCUAACGCAUUAAGUGCCCCGCCUGGGGAGUACGGUCGCAAGAUUAAAACUCAAAGGAAUUGACGGGGGCCCGCACAAGCGGUGGAGCAUGUGGUUCAAUUCGACGCAACGCGAAGAACCUUACCUGGACUAGACAACAGUGGACCGUCCUAGAAAUAGGAUUUUCCCUUCGGGGACCGCUGGUUCAGGUGCUGCACGGCCGUCGCCAACU
rnacentral:rRNA from 1 species